CCUGUCUUAGCCCUUUAAGAGGUUACACAGACAUUGGUUUGUCUGCUCUGUGCCACUUUAGGACAUGGGAGUGCUGUAUGGUGACCUUCGUUUAAGGGGACCUGCUCUUGUGCAGGUAUGAAAGGCUCAUUGAAAAUGAACAAAGAUGAGAAAUGUUAUAUUCUAUUUCUACUGUCUGUUCUGCCACACUGUGUCCUAAUUCAAGAGCUGGUGACAGUGGCUUUUGUCUUAAGAAUCAAAAGCAGUAAGAUUCAAGCUAUAAAAGGACUUGGUUUGAGAAAACUUGUUAAAACUCCUCACAAAAAUACAAUCCUGUGAGUAAUAAUCUUAAUUUAUGAAUUCAAAUGUCACUUGAUUUAUCGUUUUUGUCUUUCUUUAAAAUCUAAAUCGUACCAUCCUGCUGUGUCACGAUGUUGUUUCCGUUACAGCCACCAGAGGGGAGCAGAAUUCCAGCCUCACUGAGUCUUCAAGCCACUCUCCUCUCUGCACCAGCACCACAGCAAAUAUAUCACCUCACUAUCUUAUAUUUCAUGAAGAA